GGGCGCGUAGCUCAACGGCAGAGCAGUGGCCUUUUAAGCCAUUGGCUGAAGGUUCGAGUCCUUCCGCGCUCA
rnacentral:tRNA from 2 species